GCAAUUCCGGUUCAGUCCGGUCAGAGAUCACUCUUUAAAAAGGCAUACGAAUAAAAGAAGCGAACGUCAACCUUCCAGCAAUCUACGGUUGGUGGUGCCUUUUUCAACUCUUCCACUGUUGUGCGUACUGCGUACCACUCACAACCGAUCAGGCAGACACAAAAAACGCUUUACAAGUUUGAAGAAAGUGCAAGCACUCGUCCCAAGGAGGUCGAUCAUGAAGUUAGGGUUUUCUUGCCGGCACCAGUCUGAAUAUAAUUGAGCUUAGAGUUUAGAAUCUUGGGGGAUUCAUUGCUGGAAAUCACGUUCUCUAAAGGGCGCUUCUAUGGCCAUGUGGUUGGACUGACAAGUUUUGUGAGAGCUACUUGCAAUGAUGUCAAGACCCAUGUUGCUUGUUUUUCUGUUGCUUAUACUUAUCAUCACUUCUCAGUUUGAGUGGAAGCAACAACUCGUCUUUGACCUCGACUCAACUCCGAGCAUCUCACAGAAGCACCACCAAAUUUCGAAGAGGGAAGAAGUUGUAAAGGAGAAGAUAAUUUUAUCACAAGAACAGAACAUUCAGAGACUCAAUGAACUUGUACGGAGUCUCAGAAAACAAUUGCAGCAGUGCAGAAACAAUAAUGAGACUUCAGAUCGUAAUUUAAGCCCUUUAACUGAGCAUGUUAUCCGGCUAGAACGACAGCAGAUCCUGGAAAACUGAAAUGGGUAUGGGGCCAGAGGUGUUAGUGAAUGUAUACUCAAGUGUUGAAGAAAUGUGAAAUAUGAUUGCAUAAUGAAAAGUUCUAGUUUUUAUCCCGGGUCGAGUUAUUGGACUGCAACGGAGGAAGAUGGAGCCAAUUUGAAGAGAUCAUUACACUAUUGUGGCAUUCCAUCCAAACUGAGAACAUCUAGCAAGGUAAGAAGUUUCGGUAGAUGGUUUUAUAGUUCACAUUACAAGAUGAAUAGUCUUUGUUUUUUAAUUUUUUUACUGUAACAUUGGCGAUGUAUCAAAAUUUAUUCAGCAGUUCGAUAGCAAUCAACAGAAACUACAGCUUUUGUUCAUACCUACUAUAUCUUAGGCAGCACUGAGUCUUGUUCAACACAAAUCUAAUGAAUUAAAUUCAGUUCCA